rnacentral:rRNA from 1 species
AUUGAACGCUGGCGGCAGGCCUAACACAUGCAAGUCGAGCGAGCGGCGCACGGGUGAGUAAUGUAUGGGGGCUGCCCGCUAUCGAGGGAUAACUACUGGAUAAGGUAGCUCAUAUCCCCUACUAUCUGGUAACCCAUAUGGGGUUAGCGAGUGGGUGGGGGAAUGGCUCACCUAGGCGCCGCUCCCUAGCUGGUGUGAGAGGAUGAUCAGCCACACUGGGACUGAGACACGGCCCAGACUCCUACGGAGGCAGCAGUGGGGAAUAUUGCACAAUGGGCGCAAGCCUGAUGCAGCCAUGCCGCGUGUAUGAAGAAGGCCCUAGGGUUGUAAAGUACUUUCAGUCGGGAGGCGUUACCGACAGAAGAAGCACCGGCUAACUCCGUGCCAGCAGCCGCGGUAAUAC